GGUCGUCUUCACGGGCAGGGUGUAAUUCCCGACCGGUGGUAAUAGUCCACGAACUGAGUAAUUUGUGUUACUUGGUCGAACUGGUGUAAUUCCAGUACCGACAGUUAGAGUCUGGAGUAAAGAAGAUAGGG
rfam:Enterococcus sp. 6C8_DIV0013 scaffold00003, whole genome shotgun sequence.